CACCCGCAUCACAUAACAAGAGUGGAGUCCAUUAUCCUCUCUCCGUUCUAGGUCAGACCAUUGAUCUAAAUAAGCCUAAACAAGCUGAGCUCGAGUCCUCACCUGUGCCAACGAACCGAGCUCAAACUUGACUACUUAAGCUUGCACGAGCCCGGGCUCGAGCUCAAGCCUAAGGGUUGACCAGUGAGCCAAGCUUGGGCUUGCUAUAUUCGGGGUCAAUUCGACUCAUUUACACCCCUAGGUCUUCUCCUAUUGAUAGUCUCCUAUACGCUUUGAAGCUACUCCUCGACGGCGAUCUCGAGAGAUCAAUCACUGCAAGCCAUGAGCCGAUGCCGGUCUCAACGUCGCUCCGUCCCAGCUGCCGAUCUCCUCUAGUCUCUGAUGAUGACGAAGGGACUGUUGUGGCAUUGGGCGAUAAAAGCAGCUUCCUCACCGAGCUCGUCCGAUUCUUGUUUGGCCCCACUUGACGUUGCGCUUCCAUCGUCAGCAGCAAGGACAGACAAAGGCACUGCUCUGACGCCGUCACACAAAGCCCGAGCUGCACGUCCGACCGCUCCAAUCUCUGCUGUGCUGCUCUACCCGUGUAGCCCCAACAAUCACAGUUGCUGCUGCCCCCCGUUCAGUCAUUCCUUCACUUAGUUCGGUCUGUGAACAUACACAUCUUUUUUUGGGAAAUUUUGAAUUGGACAUCUCUCUCUCUCUCUCAAUUUGAUGACUGCAAUUUAGUGGGUACAGGUUGAAUUUUCGUUUUCAAUUCAUUCUCAAUUUGAUGAAGCUCUGAAGAUGGUCACAGCGGAGGACGAUGUUUGGAAUGCUUAUGUUGAGGCAGAUAUUACUUUGUAGAAGUUUUGAUUACAUAUUUUUAUGUCGAUCAUGACUUGAAAUGUUAUUGAGCUCCUAUUUUGUUCUCUUACUCUUAUUUUCAGUGUCACAAAAAAGCUGCUCAAUUUAGAACCUGAACCUUCCCUCAUUUUGAAGAGCUUUCAUUGAUAUAUGCAAGGUAUCGAGCUACAGGUAGGGAUGCACCGGCAGUUGAAGAUAUUCUUCAGGAAAUGGAGUUGGAAGAUAGGGCAAAUAGAGGAGAUGAUGAGGUCCAUAAUAGUACAAAUGUGGAGGAAGCAACCGGUCCAAACCCUGGGACAUCAGAAGAUAAGGUCUCGUACUUGUCCCCCAAUGAGAGAGGUUUCAGGAUGUUCCUCGGGAAAGAGAAAAAAAGAAUACCGACUUUGUGGCACUUACUGAAGCAAUGAAUAAUAUGGCAGCUGAAAUGAAGGAGGCUUGUGUGAUUCUCUCCAAGAGUGUCCACUCUGAUAUAUUGCAAGAAAAGCUGCUCGAACUUCCAAAUGCACUUCGUGCUGUCGAUGGCCUUAGCGAAGCAGACAGAAGAAGGGCUAUUCGAAAGUUCAGAAACCAUCCAAGCGAAGUGCUAAUCUUUUUUGGUACUGAUCCGGAGGAUCGCUUGGAAAUGGUUAAGGCACUUCAUAAGAUGGACUGGUCUUACUUUGGGGAGGGUUUGACUCUUCUUGGAGGAUUUAGAUGAUAAGGAUGGCUCAGAUACUUGAAGGAAACUCGCGUUGCUGUGAUAUCUGCGAUCUCCAUUAGGCUAUUUUGAAAAAAAAAAGUUGUCAGUAAACUUUUGAAAAACUUCAUUUAUGUAUCUAUAUUUGCUAAUUGGGUAUGUUGUGAACUUUUGCCCUUUCGAAUACUUUUUGAUUGAAUCGGGGUGAACGUUAUAUAGAUUGCGUAUAUUAUAAAGUGA